GGCCUACAAAAGUGGUGGAUUCACACUAGUUUCUAUUUUAUCCUGUCGCCCAACCAGCUAUUGAGUAGCAGAACCCAUGGAUGGUGGACGGUCUAACAGGACAGAAUUGGAGAUCAAGAACUAGUAAUGCAACGUUAGAAAUGGAAUGAUGAGACCUAGUCGCAAGUUCAUGGAUUGUCCAUAAAUUGGACGUACUCCUACCUGGACUAUUCAUUGCAGAGUUGAUUUUGUUAUAUUGUAUGCACUACAUCAUCAAUUAGCUGCAUCAAAUCUCGUUCAGUUGAGUCUGAAUUUGU
rnacentral:lncRNA from 1 species